GGAAGGGUGGCCGAGUGGUUGAAGGCACCGGUCUUGAAAACCGGCAGGCGGGGAACCGUCUCGUGGGUUCGAAUCCCACCCCUUCCGCCA
rnacentral:tRNA from 1 species